rnacentral:misc_RNA from 1 species
AAGACUAUAGACCUGCGGAGUACCUGCGGAAGGAUCAUUACUGGGUUUUUAGGUCUUCGGAUCUGCCACCCGCCCUCUGUCAUACGCAAUAAUCUUUUCGGCUUUGGGCCGGUAGUCCCUAGGGAACUUACUGGUUCGAGUCGGUAUUGCAAACUCCAAAGAAAUUUGAAGUCUGAAAAAUUUUGUUAAUAAAUAAAAACUUUUAACAACGGAUCUCU